rnacentral:rRNA from 1 species
CACUCUAGAGAGACUGCCAGGGAUAACCUGGAGGAAGGUGGGGAUGACGUCAAAUCAUCAUGCCCCUUAUGCUUAGGGCUACACACGUGCUACAAUGGGUAGUACAGAGGGUUGCCAAGCCGUAAGGUGGAGCUAAUCCCUUAAAGCUACUCUCAGUUCGGAUUGUAGGCUGAAACUCGCCUACAUGAAGCUGGAGUUACUAGUAAUCGCAGAUCAGAAUGCUGCGGUGAAUGCGUUCCCGGGUCUUGUACACCCCGCCCGUCACACCACGGGAGUUGGAGACGCCCGAAGCCGAUUAUCUAACCUUUUGGAAGAAGUCGUCGAAGGUGGAAUCAAUAACUGGGGUGAAGUCGUAACAAGGUAGCCGUAUCGGAAGGUGCGGCUGGAUCACCUCCUUUCUAAGGAGA